rnacentral:rRNA from 1 species
CAGCAGCCGCGGUAAUACGGAGGGUGCGAGCGUUAAUCGGAAUUACUGGGCGUAAAGCGCGCGUAGGUGGUUUGUUAAGUCAGCUGUGAAAGCCCCGGGCUCAACCUGGGAACUGCAGUUGAUACUGGCCGACUAGAGUACGAGAGAGGGAGGUAGAAUUCCAUGUGUAGCGGUGAAAUGCGUAGAUAUAUGGAGGAAUACCGGUGGCGAAGGCGGCCUCCUGGCUCGAUACUGACGCUGAGGUGCGAAAGCGUGGGGAUCAAACAGGAUUAGAUACCCUGGUAGUCCACGCCGUAAACGAUGUCUACUAGCCGUUGGGAGACUUGAUUUCUUAGUGGCGCAGCUAACGCAAUAAGUAGACCGCCUGGGGAGUACGGCCGCAAGGUUAAAACUCAAAGGAAUUGACGG